rnacentral:lncRNA from 1 species
CUUAGCCGAUUUUGGCCUUCUCUCGCUGGCGUCGCAAACGGGGACCAGUCCCCUCAACUAGGGACCGGUUGCAUCAAAGAUCCCCAGCAACCACCAGCCUCGGGGACCGGUCUCUCCCUGCCAGGGACCGGUCCCCGAGAGCAACUUCAGCCCAGUGCAGGUUUUGCACUAUAUGCUCUCGCGGACUCAACUCCAAUGCACUUUUUGUGUUUUGGAUAACUUUAGCUUUCCCGAAGGAUACUCACUCGACAAUUAGUCGAUCCUGGACAAAGUACAACUCCCGGAUUUCGAGAAUUCACUUCCUUACAUGUACUGUGCAGUUUGUUUAUAUAUAAUUGUGAAUGUGCAAUUGUGAAUUUUUGACUAGUACCGGGCAGUUUGUUUAUAUAUGAAUUGUGAAUUUGUUUAUAUAUAACUAUGAAUUUGUUUAUAUAUGUGACUGUCCAAUUGUGCAAAUUGUUACUGGUACUGGACAGUUUGUUUAUAUAUGAUUGUGAAUAUGCAAUUGUGAAUUUGUGACUUGUAUUGUACAUUUGUUUAUAUAUGAUUGAUGAUUUGUUUAUAUAUGACUGUAAAUUUGUUUAUAUAUGUGAUUGGUACUGGGCAGUUUGUUUAUAUAUGACUAUGAAUUUGUUUAUAUAUGAUUAUGAAUUGUAGCAAUUGUGGCUGGUACUGGGCAGUUUGUUUAUAUAUGAUUGUGAAUGUUAUAUGUUGUAUUGGAUGUUGUCAAGUAUUGAAUGUUAUAUGACUGUGAAUUUGUUACAGGGCAGUUUGUUUAUAGAAACACUGCAUUAUUUUGCGGAUGGUUCAUG